rnacentral:rRNA from 1 species
UACGUAGGGGGCGAGCGUUGUCCGGAGUUACUGGGCGUAAAGCGCACGCAGGCGGUGCGGCACGUUUGGGGUUACAGCUCCCGGCUCAACUGGGAGAGCGCCUCGAAGACGGCGGCACUUGAGGGCCAGAGAGGGACACGGAACUCCGGGUGGAGUGGUGAAAUGCGUAGAGAUCAGGAAGAACACCCGUGGCGAAGGCGGCCCACUGGGCCGGUACUGACGCUGAGGCACGAAGGCGUGGGGAGCGAACGGG